rnacentral:rRNA from 1 species
GACGGAGGGAGCAAGCGUUGUUCGGAUUUACUGGGCGUAAAGGGCGUCUAGGCGGGCCAGCCAGUCAGGUGUGAAACCCCCCGGCUCAACCGGGGAUCUGCACUUGAUACUGCUGGUCUUGAGUAUGGAAGAGGAAGGCGGAAUUCCUGGUGUAGCGGUGAAAUGCGUAGAUAUCAGGAAGAACACCGGUGGCGAAGGCGGCCUUCUGGUCCAAUACUGACGCUAAAGCGCGAAAGUGUGGGGAGCAAACAGG